UGUGCAACAGCACGCCAGAUUAAUACAUAUUGGGCACUUGGAUGAAAUGCAUUACGUAUCAACAAGUCCAAUGAUUCAGCCUAGUGAAAACCAGACAAAUUGUUCAAACAAAGAAAAACAAAAAACUAAAAAGCAUGAACAGUAUUUAAAAAGGCCUCUGAAAUGAAGGACCAAAGAGCCAAAAGGCUUGUCCAAAGCAAGGAGUACAGGAAAAAAAAAAUUCUAAUUCAGUGCAAAAUCCUGCGUCUGCAGCAGGAAAACAAAAAACUAAAAAAACAUGAACAGUA